AAUUAUGAGUGCACACUAUUUUUAUGUAUUUUAAGAAAAUGGAUGAGCUCUAAUUAGGUGUUAAAAUUAAAGAAAUUCAGUCUGACAAUGCAAAUGAAUAUGUUGCUUUAAUAAAAUAUUUGAGUUGUGAAGGCAUUCAACACAGGUUUUCUUACUCGUAUGUUUAUCAGCAGAACGACACAGCAGAGCGCAAAGAUAAGCAUAUCACCACAAUGAAGUUGACACUUUUGGCUGAAGCUGGUCUUCCUAAGAAUUUUUGGGAGAGGCAUUUGUGACAGCUGCUCAGCUUAUUAAUUUACUUCGCACUUUAGUGCUAAAUUUUGCCUCACCAUCCUAGAGACUAUUUGGAAAAGCUCCAUCUUAUGUUUAAGGUAUUUGGCUGCCUAUGCUUCGCUCACACGAGGCUAUACAACAAAGACAAGAUGAAAUUUUGAUCAGAGGCCUGUGUUUAUCUAGGACUAGCCCCACAUUAUAAGGGAUUCAAGUGCCUCACCAAAGUCGGGUAAGAUCAUCACCAUAAAUGUUGUGUUUGAAGAAAGAGUAUUUCCCUUCAAAGAAGAGAGUUAUGGCUUCACAUUCACAACAACUACUCCGACAAUUCCAACACAACAACAUUCAGUGCCUCCAAUUCCAUUAAUACAGCCCCUACCUCCAAUCCUUACGCCAACUACACAAAUCAAUCCACCUAUACCUACACUACUACCCGAACCAGUAACAACCAUUGUAGACCACCACAAACCCAUGAAAAUUCAACACUAGAUCCAUUCACAAUCAACCCUGCUCCAAUCACUACCUCUCUUCCUACAAUUCCUCAACCUACAACCAACACACACCCAAUGCAAACAAGAUUAAAGACUGGGAACAACAAACCCAAAACCUUCACUUGCAUCACAAAACCUCUUGAACCAAAGUCACCAAAGGAAGCAUUGACUAUUUCUCAUUGGAAACAAGCCAUGGAUAAAAAAUAUGCAGUGUUGAUAAGAAAUAACACUUGGGACAUUGUUGAGCUUCCUCCAAACCGUUGAGUAAUAAUACCUAAGUAGGUGUUUAGGGUUAAAUAUUACCCGAAUGGCUCCAUUAACAGGUACAAACCAAGGCUCGUUGCUUUUGGCUGUCACCAAAGGCCUGGUUUCAACUUCAAAAAAAUAUUCAGUCUUGUAAUUUGUCCAAUGACAAUUAGAAUUUUGUUGACUUUUGCCCUGUCAAAGGGCUGGCCAAUCAAGCAAAUUGAUAUUAAUAAUACAUUUUUGAACGGGGAGUUGUAGGAAGUUUACAUGAAGUAGCCAUUUGGAUAUGAAGCUGGAAAUGAUAAAAUGGUGUGCAAACUAAUUCGAUCCUUGUAUAGGCUGAAGCAGGCACCCAAAGCAUGGUUCACUAAGCUCACUAACUCUCUUGUUAGCUUUGGUUUUGCAGCUACCAAAUCAAAUGCUUCUCUUUUUCACAGAGCUGAAGACCUAGUUAAAAGCUUAAAUGCUUGAUUUUCCCUCAAAGAUUUGGGGGAUCUUCAUUAUUUCUUAGGGAUUUAAGUGAGGCUAAUCCUUGAUGGUCUCUUACUCACACAAUAUAAGAAUAUUCUUGAUGUGAUAAAGAAAGCUGGUUUAGAAGAUUGCAAGUUAUUACCAACACCUAUGCCAUCAAUUCUUAGAUUAACCUCCACUAAUGGUGAACCUUUUGAGAAUCUUAGCCUCCAUAGAUCCAUCAUUGACAGUCUGCAAUAUAUCACUUUUACUUACUCCAAAUUGGCUUUUACAAUUAACAAAGUGUGUUAAUUUAUGCAAGCGCCAACUGAAUUCAUUGGGAAGCUGUCAAGUGCAUUCUACGGUAUUUACAAGGCAUCAGCACCUUGGGAUUGCAUCUCCAAAAAGCCUCAAAUUUUAGCAUUUCAAGGUAUACCAACUCAGACUUGGCAUUUAAUGUGGAAGACAAAAAAUUCACAGCAGGUUUCUGUGUUUAUAUGGGUCUGAAUCUCAUUUAUUGGUCAUCAAAGAAGCAAACUUCGGUCUCUCGUUCUAGCACCAAAGCUAGAUACAGAGGAUUUUGUAAUCUUGCCACUGAACUAUUGGCGAUCAAGAAGCUUCUGCUUGAAAUCAACAUAAGCCUACCAGUACCGGUGAUUCACUAUGACAAUCAGGGAGCAGUACUACUGGCAGCCAAUUUGAUUCAGCACUCUCGUUCAAAACACUUUGAAAUGGAUGUCUAUUUUUCUAGAGACCAUGUUGCCAAGGGGACUCUUCGAGUGCAACAUAUCCCAGGUGAUUUCCAAGUUGCAGACAUUAUGACUAAAGCUAUAUCUUCGAAUAAGUUCUUUGAAUUUAGAGACACUCAGGUUGCAAAGUUUUAGCAACUUGAAUUUAAAGGGGGGGGGGAGGGAAUUAGUUAGAAACUAAUUAUUGUUAAUAAGGAUAAAUGUCAAUUGUAACUAAUAGUAGUUAGUAUUGUGACUGGUACAGUAGGUAAACCAAAUCCAACUAUAUAUACACACUCAUGUAAUUGAUUCAUGUGUAAUGAAAUCAUUCUCUCACUUUCUGAA